rnacentral:lncRNA from 1 species
UUUUUUUUUUUUUUUUUGGCUAUGUCCAUGUCAGCAGUACACAUUCACGCUGCCUAGACUUCAUCUCACCAAAGUUUGUAGGCUAACAUCUUAGAUUUCUCUAACAUGUUCCAAAAUCUCCUGGAAGGGACUGAUCCUUUGCAUUUUGUGUUUCCAGCUCUGUGGCCUUCCAGAUCAUCAGCAGUGUCGUCAGUAUCCUCUUCCACCACAAUGCCACCAACUCCCUCAAUGCUGAGAAUCAGUCAUCUGAAGCCCAGUGAUGCUUCAGAGGAAGAAGUAGAAUAAAAUUAGUUAUUUCCUAACCAUUUAGUAUUUCUUACCUUUCUGCCGCUCUUGAGCCAAAUAAUCUCUUAUACAUUGCCACCACCUUCCCUUUGAGAGAUCACCAGAGAUGUGAUCUUUCUUGCUAUGAGUUGGUAAAUAUAUACUGAGUUGACUAUAUCAUAUUGAGACCUGUAACGUCAGGUCUGUGGUAGAAAGACCAGUGUUACAAUGAGAGGAGCAAUAACUAACAUCUAUUCAUAGCUUUUGAAUCAGGGAACUAAGGGCUAAAGGCUUGUAGAGCUUCCAAAAGUCAUAUUACAAAAGAAAUAACAAAAUUGGGCUUUGAAAUAAAACACCACAAAUUCAGAGAUGCUGCUGUGUUCUUACACAGCUUUCCCUUAACCAACCUAGUUAUACUAAGAAAGUCUUUGAAGUCUAUCCAAGACAAGCCCUUGGUGGCCAUAGAAUUCCACAACACAGCUCAAACCCAGGAGGAUGUCUGCUUAUAAGCUCUAUUGAUGCAUCUCCCCAUUUUCCACGGACAAACCCAGUAAGAAGUAGAAGUAUUUAUAAACUUCCAUGUAUGUUUAUGGAACACACUCUAAGCAAAGCAAAUGGUGCUCGGAUCCUUUGAUCUUCUCUAUUUUUCCCUGUCUCCUCUGUCAUGCUGUUUGCAGUGGGGAAGUGAAAACAAGUUGAUUCUCUACCCCAAGCCUUUAGUGGCUUUGCUAAUUGAUGGAGACUACAACUGAAGUCUGCGCCCAGUGGGGAUUCUGGUUAUUGGGUUCUCCAGAGGGAAUCUAGCACAGUGCUUCCUCUAUAGAUGCUAAUGAAGUUCACCUAAGUUCAGGAGCUCCCCGGGGUGCCUGAGCAGGCCAUUUUGUGCAUCACUGCACUGCUCAUACUGUCUGAAGAAAAUAGGGUGAAAAUGAAAUUCUGUCUCUUAAACCUAGCUUAUUAGAUCACUGCAGAGGCCGAUGGUGGGUUGACUAUCUCUUAUCUGAAAUGCUUUGGAUCUAAAGAUAUUUAUUUACAUUGUGGAUAGUUUUGGGUCUUGGAAUGUCUGAGUCAUAAUAAAGUGAUUUUGGGCUGGGAGCCAAGUUUAAACAUAAAAUUGUUUUAUUUUAUAUGUGCCAUAUAUACAUAGAUUUAAAGUAAUUUUAUUGAACACAAUUACUUUGCCUGCAUUCUGUCUAUGAGACCAGGCAUCGAAAUUUCUUCUGUGUCAAGUGAGUAUUUAAAUUUCAGAUUUGGAGGCACUUUGGAUUUUCAUCCAGGGCAGGUUGAGCCAGUACUAGUUUUAUAUUGAGAAAUGAAGUAGAAGACUGGGGAGUGAAACAUAAAGCAAUGUACACCAACACAGCCAAUCUCCCUUUCCUAGGGAUCUGGUUCUGCACACACCUAGUACUGCCAGGUCUUAAAAGCUUUCCAAAUAAUUCUGACGUCCCAAACUGGUUUAAAAAUGGGAACGACAGUCUCAAAUUAUGCAACUCUCUCCAUAUAUAGUCACCAUCUAAUGAUAAAGUUUGAGACAGAAUCUUCUGUUGGCAUGCCCAUUCCGCGUUCCUGAGGCUUAGGGUGUAUCAAAGAGGAGCUGGACUCUAACUGGGAAGGGGCUUACUGCUGGCAAUAGAACAAAAUCCUUAGUUAUUUUUACAGUAAUUUUCAAAGAAUAUCAUAUUUUCAUUCUUUUUGGAAACUAUAAUUACAUCUUUCCUCUUUUCCUUGCCUCUCUUCAGACAGUCUCAUGUAUACCCUCUACCCCAGUGUCUAGUAUCUUUUACGUUCAUGACCUCUUUUGUUUGAAAACUGGAUUUUAAAAUAUAACCUUCCCUUUUCCUAAUUAAAAUUUGCACUAAUUGUAAAAUAGAUGAAAGAGGCGUCAGGAUGGAUGAACAGGGCUGUAUACAUGCUUUCUCGAUCCUAUAGUCCUCUACUAGAUUAUCUGGGCGCUCCAGAGGGUACAGUUGUAACUACUGUUUGACUGUCAUUUAUCAGUCCUUUCACUUAUGAACGGGAGGUUAAAUGGAAUGACAUCACUGGCCCCUGAAAAAGCCCUGUUAGAACAGGAGUCCUCACAGCUAGUGGGAUGCACUUUACUUUAAUGUAUUUAUUUGCUUCUGCCAAGAGAGGGCAUUAAAAGAUGCAGUGGGAAGCCACUGUCUCCAUUAACAUUUGAACAACAAUAUGCUGUUCCUAAACUUAGAUGUAUAAUCACUCACAUAAAUGGAACCAUACAUGUAAAAUUAAAUUAGCUUUAUUAUGCCAUUAAAGGAACCAUUUGAUUUUGUCAGUUGGGAAAAAUCUUAUAAAAUCGGAUGUUGAAUUAAUUAAGUAGAGUAAUAUAAUGAAACUUCAGUGUGUGAAAUCUGAUCUGGAUAAGGCCCUGUAGAGGAGGCAAUGUGCUAGCUUACAUGAAAUCUCAGAGAUUCUCUAAUAAACAUCUAAUGGGAAAACACAGGUUGUAAGGUAUUUUAUUCCUUAUACCAUUGAAAGACUAAUCCACAUG